rnacentral:rRNA from 2 species
AGCUCCAAUAGCGUAUAUUAAAGUUGCUGCAGUUAAAAAGCUCGUAGUUGGAUUUGUGGCGCGGCCGUCCGGCGGGGCUCCUUCAUUGGGGCCGUUUGUCUGGUUCUUCGGCCGCCCCAUUCUCGGGUAGUGUGUCGCUGGCAUUAGGUUGUUGGCUUCUUCACGCCCGUCGUUUACUGUGAAAAAAUUAGAGUGUUCAAAGCAGGCUUAGGCCGUUGGAUACAUUAGCAUGGAAUAAUGAGAUAGGGCCACGGCGGUCUAUUUUGUUGGUUUGCACGUUGUGGUAAUGAUUAACAGGAACGGUUGGGGGUAUUCGUAUUCAAUUGUCAGAGGUGAAAUUCUUGGAUUUAUGGAAGACGAACUACUGCGAAAGCAUUUACCAAGGAUGUUUUCA